rnacentral:tRNA from 2 species
GGGGCCGUAGCUCAGUUGGGAGAGCGCUUGAAUGGCAUUCAAGAGGUCGUCGGUUCGACCCCGAUCGGCUCCA